AGGCUGAACUCUGGUUCUGAGAGGAAAGGCACUCCAGGGUUUUGGAGUGGGCCACCUGAACUUGACCCUCAGGGCAGAUAUCCUAGAGUUCCAAGGAAGGCCCAGGCUGGGCCAAGAAGCCACCUCCAGAACGCUGUUGUGGUGACACAGAGCACGCAGGGUCCUUCCCCAGCUCUGCUCUUGUCUUUCUCUGGGGGUGGGGUGGGGGGACGACAAUUGGAACCUGGACUGCCCAGGAGGCUGGUAGUGGGUUGGGCAGAAGGAAUGCAGCCCUGGCUCUCAGCCCAGAGGCUUUGGGUCCGCCUGAGGCUGCCUUGGGGGUGGUGGUGGUAUACCUGGCUGGGCAGGGAGCUGCGACCAAGGGCUCUGUGUCUGAAUUAGCUUAGGG
ensembl:lincRNA Gm13431 predicted gene 13431